rnacentral:rRNA from 1 species
AGAGUUUGAUCCUGGCACAGAGCGAACGCUGGCGGCAGGCCUAAUACAUGCAAGUCGAACGAAUCCUUCGGGAUUAGUGGUGGACGGGUGAGUAACACGUGGGAACGUGCCCUUUGGUUCGGAACAACUCAGGGAAACUUGAGCUAAUACCGAAUGUGCCCUUCGGGGGAAAGAUUUAUCGCCAUUGGAGCAGCCCGCGUCUGAUUAGCUAGUUGGUGAGGUAAAGGCUCACCAAGGCUACGAUCAGUAGCUGGUCUGAGAGGAUGAUCAGCCACACUGGGACUGAGACACGGCCCAGACUCCUACGGGAGGCAGCAGUAGGGAAUCUUGCGCAAUGGGCGAAAGCCUGACGCAGCCAUGCCGCGUGAAUGAUGAAGGUCUUAGGAUUGUAAAAUUCUUUCAGCGGGGACGAUAAUGACGGUACCCGCAGAAGAAGCCCCGGCUAACUUCGUGCCAGCAGCCGCGGUAAUACGAAGGGGGCUAGCGUUGCUCGGAAUUACUGGGCGUAAAGGGCGCGUAGGCGGAUGUUUAAGUCAGAGGUGAAAGCCCAGGGCUCAACCUUGGAACUGCCUUUGAUACUGGACAUCUUGAGUAUGGGAGAGGUGAGUGGAACUCCGAGUGUAGAGGUGAAAUUCGUAGAUAUUCGGAAGAACACCAGUGGCGAAGGCGACUCACUGGCCCAUUACUGACGCUGAGGCGCGAAAGCGUGGGGAGCAAACAGGAUUAGAUACCCUGGUAGUCCACGC